GAUGUUGGAGAAUCUGUAGAACAACCGCACUAGAUCUACGAUUUACCAACGAGGUAAUAUCGUUUCCGCUACGUAUUCUAAUCUACGAGUGGGGGCGGCG